GACGUAGGGUGCGAGCGUUGUCCGGAUUUAUUGGGCGUAAAGAGCUCGUAGGCGGCUCGUCGCGUCGACCGUGAAAACCCGAGGCUUAACCUCGGGCCUGCAGUCGAUACGGGCAGACUAGAGUUCGGUAGGGGAGACUGGAAUUCCUGGUGUAGCGGUGAAAUGCGCAGAUAUCGUGAGGAAGACCAGUGGCGAAGGCGGAUCUCUGGAGAGUUCCUGACGCUGAGGCACGAAGGCCAGGGGAGCAAACGGG
rnacentral:rRNA from 1 species